GAUGAAGAACGUAGCGAAAUGCGAUAAGUAAUGUGAAUUGCAGAAUUCAGUGAAUCAUCGAAUCUUUGAACGCACAUUGCGCCCGGCAGUACUCUGCCGGGAAUGCCUGUUCGAGCGUCAUUUCAACCCUCAAGCCCUGCUUGGUGUUGGGGUCCCACGGCCGCCGUGGGCCCUGAAAGGAAGUGGCGGGCUCGCUACAACUCCGAGCGUAGUAAUUCAUUAUCUCGCUUAGGGCGUUGGGCGGCGCUCCUGCCGUUAAAGAACCAUCUUUAACUCAAGGUUGACCUCGGAUCAGGUAGGAAUACCCGCUGAACUUAAGCAUAUCAAUAAGCGGAGGA
rnacentral:misc_RNA from 1 species